rnacentral:rRNA from 1 species
GGUUUUUCGUUUUGUUGAGAGAUAAGUUCUGCUCAAUGAUAAUUUAAAUAGCUGCAGUAAUUUGACUGUACAAAGGUAGCGUGAUAAUUAGUUUAUUAAUUGUGAACUGGGAUGAAUGAAUUGAUGAAAAAUUAUCUGUCUUUUAUUUAUUUUUAGUUGAAUUUUAUUUUUAAGUAAGAAAGCUUAGUUUUAGUUAAGGGACGAGAAGACCCUAUAGAACUUUAUUUUUUUUAUUGUUUUAUUUAAUGGUGAGAUUAUUUAGUUGGGGUGACUGGAAUAGAAGUUUAAUUUUUUUUUAAUCGGAGCAUUAAUGUAUGGUUGUGAGGUAUUUAAGUUUUAGGUAAGAAUAAGUUACCUUAGGGAUAACAGCAUAAUUUUUAUGGAAAGUUCUUAUUGAAAUUAAAGUUUGUGACCUCGAUGUUGAAUUAGGAUUACUUAAGGGUGAAGUAGUUUAUUAAGUUGGUCUGUUCGACCAUUUAAUUCUUACA